rnacentral:lncRNA from 1 species
AUGGGCAGGCCCGCGCCUGAGCCUGAGCCGCAUCCCAAAGCAGCCGCCCGCCCCCACCUGCGGGUGCAGGGGGGCCGCCCCGGCGGAGGGGGAGGGGAGGGGAGGGGAGGGGGGGUGAAAGCCGAGGCAGCGGCGCUGGCCGGACCUCUGGGGGACACCGGCAGGUUUUCCCUCCAAAGUGGUGGCGGCGGAAAAUCCAAAUCCACUGGGGACUUGCUCACGUGCGGGCUCCGGGCUCCCGGCUGCAGCGGCGGGCCCUGCCCACGCCGCCCCCCUGCCCCGCAGCUGCUGCACUGCGCCCGCCUGGGCCGGGCCGCCGCGGGGACAGGGGACAGGAGGGGGACACGGAGCAUCCCGCAGGGGGGAGAAAGCCGGGCACGGGAGGGGAGGGGGACACGGCGCGCAGGGGGGACACGGCGGGCAGGGGAGGGGAGGGGGGACACGGAGCAUCCCGCAGGCGGAGGGGCACGGCGGGCAGGGGGGAGAGAAGGCGGGCAGGGGGCACACGGCGGGGCAGGGGGGACACGGCGGGGCAGGGGGGGACACGGCGGGGCACGGGUGCCCACCCCACGCAGGGGAGGGGAGGGGAGGGCGGGGCAGGAGAGGACAGGGGAGGGGAGGAUGGGGCACGGCAGGGGCGCCCACCCCCAGGCAGGGAAGGGGAGGGGAAGGAGGGACACGGCGGGCAGGGCCAGGGCGCCCCCCGCCAGGCAGGGAGGGGAGGGAGGAUGCGGCGGGGCAGGGGCCCCCAUCCCCAGGCAGCGGAGGGGAGGGGAGGAGAGAGGAGUGGUCGCGGCGGGCAGGGCGGGCGGGGCAGGGCAGGGCAGGGACGCCCCCCGCUGCCCCCGCAGCCCUGAGAAGGAAGCGGCACCUGUCAGGCGUGGCGCCCGGAGCCAGCGCGCCCGCCCCUCGCCCCGCGCCCCGCGCCCCGCGCCUCGCCCCGCACCUCGCCCCGCGGAGGCCGCGCGUUGCAUCAUCCGCGGAAGCCCCGAGGCGGCGGGCGCGGGCCCCAGCGCGGACCUGCCUGCCGCGCGACUCUCCGAUUCCGGGGAAACGACCCGAAGCCGCGGCGCCCGCGGGGCUCACCUGUGCGCGGCCGCUCGCCGGUCCCUGCUCCCCCGGGGCCGCCGCCCGGCUCCGCCGUCCCCCCUCGGGCUCUGCUAA